rnacentral:rRNA from 1 species
GUUAAGCGACUAAGCGUACACGGUGGAUGCCCUGGCAGUCAGAGGCGAUGAAGGACGUGCUAAUCUGCGAUAAGCGUCGGUGAGGUGAUAUGAACCGUUAUAACCGGCGAUUUCCGAAUGGGGAAACCCAGUGUGUUUCGACACACUAUCAUUAACUGAAUCCAUAGGUUAAUGAGGCGAACCGGGGGAACUGAAACAUCUAAGUACCCCGAGGAAAAGAAAUCAACCGAGAUUCCCCCAGUAGCGGCGAGCGAACGGGGAGGAGCCCAGAGCCUGAAUCAGUGUGUGUGUUAGUGGAAGCGUCUGGAAAGGCGCGCGAUACAGGGUGACAGCCCCGUACACAAAAAUGCACAUGCUGUGAGCUCGAUGAGUAGGGCGGGACACGUGGUAUCCUGUCUGAAUAUGGGGGGACCAUCCUCCAAGGCUAAAUACUCCUGACUGACCGAUAGUGAACCAGUACCGUGAGGGAAAGGCGAAAAGAACCCCGGCGAGGGGAGUGAAAAAGAACCUGAAACCGUGUACGUACAAGCAGUGGGAGCCUCUUAAUGGGGUGACUGCGUACCUUUUGUAUAAUGGGUCAGCGACUUAUAUUCUGUAGCAAGGUUAACCGAAUAGGGGAGCCGAAGGGAAACCGAGUCUUAACUGGGCGCUAAGUUGCAGGGUAUAGACCCGAAACCCGGUGAUCUAGCCAUGGGCAGGUUGAAGGUUGGGUAACACUAACUGGAGGACCGAACCGACUAAUGUUGAAAAAUUAGCGGAUGACUUGUGGCUGGGGGUGAAAGGCCAAUCAAACCGGGAGAUAGCUGGUUCUCCCCGAAAGCUAUUUAGGUAGCGCCUCGUGAAUUCAUCUCCGGGGGUAGAGCACUGUUUCGGCAAGGGGGUCAUCCCGACUUACCAACCCGAUGCAAACUGCGAAUACCGGAGAAUGUUAUCACGGGAGACACACGGCGGGUGCUAACGUCCGUCGUGAAGAGGGAAACAACCCAGACCGCCAGCUAAGGUCCCAAAGUCAUGGUUAAGUGGGAAACGAUGUGGGAAGGCCCAGACAGCCAGGAUGUUGGCUUAGAAGCAGCCAUCAUUUAAAGAAAGCGUAAUAGCUCACUGGUCGAGUCGGCCUGCGCGGAAGAUGUAACGGGGCUAAACCAUGCACCGAAGCUGCGGCAGCGACACUAUGUGUUGUUGGGUAGGGGAGCGUUCUGUAAGCCUGUGAAGGUGGCCUGUGAGGGUUGCUGGAGGUAUCAGAAGUGCGAAUG